rnacentral:rRNA from 1 species
AUGGAAGGCCUAUUGCAUUGGGAUUUCAAUCCUGGAAUUGCAGUGGCAGAUCAGGUACGUCGGCGAUUUGGAGAAACGGUUCACUUUUCUCCUUCUCGCAGGACCAAGGAAUUUUUCUUGGUCGUUUCCUUCUCUUCGGCCUCUUUUCCUCUUUCGGAAGAUUUAGUUAGUGUGGAUUUGCAAUGCUGUAUUGGU